CGUGUAGGCGGCUUUGCAAGUCGGGUGUGAAAGCCCUCAGCUCAACUGAGGAAGUGCGCCCGAAACUGCAGAGCUUGAGUACCGGAGAGGAUGGCGGAAUUCCCCAAGUAGAGGUGAAAUUCGUAGAUAUGGGGAGGAACACCGGUGGCGAAGGCGGCCAUCUGGACGGUCACUGACGCUGAGACGCGAAAGCGUGGGUAGCAAACAG
rnacentral:rRNA from 1 species